CUGCCAUGAUUACUUUAUCCGUCAAGAGAGCCCGGGGUCAGGGUUGCAGUGUAGCAGGUGGUGACUGCCGUUACAAAGAGAGCCCCAUGUAAUGUUGGGGGAGGCUAACUUUGUCGGGGAGAUCCAGGUUUGCUGCAAAGGCAUCAGAGGCACACUCCGUAAGCCCCCUACUGACUGACAGCUCCAGAGCCUAUUAUGCCAACUUUUUACAGACACCCAGCCAAGUGAGGGUGUGCAAAGAUGUUAUCAUCCUGCUGCCUGCUGAGAGAGAGAGAGAGACAGCCGACUCAAACCAAGUUGGCACGUGGGACCGUCCGCUGACCCUUCCCCUUACAGGGCAAACUGCCAACUGUGCAUAAGGGGAAUUGGCUAAGGCCAUGAUGGCGGUCCUCAUUCAUUCAUUAAUUGUUCGUACCUGUUUUCAUUGCAUUUACUCACUCAUAUUUUGUGUAGUAGUUAUUAGUUAUCACAUUUAGUAGUCGUGUGUGUACUAUGUAAUUUCUAUUUUAAUAAACCAAUCAUUUAUAAAGAA